UUGACAUUUGAGUAUUUAACUGGAUAAAAAGCAGCUGUGAGCAAAGCAUGUGCCCCAGCCCUCUAUAGACCCACUGCUGUUCACACAUCAGAGCUCCUCUAACUGUGUGUGACAGGAUUUGUAUAGAGGAAGGGGCUUUGCAUACCUGUCCUGCCUCACUGCUCCACACAUUUUAAGACCCCCAGUACUGAUCAGUGACUGUCCAGUCCUUUCACAGACACUGACACAGGCAGCAGUAUGAUGAUGUCAAACAUUUUACUGCUGGUGGUGCUGGGACUAUUUGCUCAGGAAUCAAUGGCAGAUAUAGUUCUGACUCAGGAUCAGAACAGCUUGCCAACACAGUGAUACAGAGCCGUACAAAAACCUGCCUCAGUCAGACUGCACAGAGACUGCACUGCUGCAGCUGGGACCUACUGCAGGUGCUGAGGGGGGAGCUUCUCACCCGAGACAUUGAGAGGUCUGCUCGAAAACAUUGAGCUACAGUGAAUUAUUAUGAAAUCAUUCAGAUUCUCUAUUCAAAAAGAUUACACUACAUUUUCAUUUCAGUGCA